UCUUCUACGAUUAUCAGCGUAACUCUUCUGGUAACUUUGGAUGGUAGCUAAGUUCCUACAGAUGAUAGCGAUCUUCUCGAUAAUCUCCUAGAUGAAGUCUGAUCCUAAACGAUGCUGAUUUCCAACUUCAAUCCAGUAAGUGAGAGAACGAUAGGGCAUACCAUACAAGGCUUCAUACGGAGUCACGCCGAUGCUGGAAUGAUAACUGUUAUUAUAAGUAAAUUCACACAGGAGAAGAUACUCAUACUAGUUAUUGCCAAAGUCAAGGACACAAGCA
rnacentral:lncRNA from 1 species